GCAGUAAUUGUAAAAGACCAAACAACACCCUUUCUUAUUUUUUUUUAUGUCUAUACCCUUCUCUUCCACCAAUGGCUCUCUUUCUGCGAUGAGAGAAGAAGCAUUGAGCCGUACAAAUCUCUAGUCAGAGAGACUUGGGAAAGGUUUACAGGAGACUUAAUGAUGCUGACCGAGCUGGCUGUACGAUUGAAAGAACAAAGGAAGCUAUAGCAACGACCCUCUUGCUAUUGCCUUCAAUUGAACAACAAGAUCUGCGAUUCGGGCACCGCAAUCUAUUGUGAUUUUUGUCAGGUUUGAUCAAGCACAUAGAGGAGACCAUCAAUUUCUGCAUGAUUACAACAAUGUGCUGAGGACAACUGCUAUACAGCAUGAGACUGAAAUUCACAUUGUGGAGCUUAUUCCUUACACUUGGCUUCUGCAAAAUACCUUUCCCUCCAUCCAACAUUCUACUUCUUCACAAGGCCUGAAAUAACUAAGUGAAGAAUUUGUGAACAUUCUUCAAGGGUCAAAACUUUUUAGAAUUAUGGUUAAUGAAUGGUGGUGUGUUGGUGAUGAAGAUGCCUAUGUGAGUCAGUAAGGAGUUCAAUAGGCCCAUUUGAUUGGUGAGAAAAUUUGGAGACUAUUUUGUUUUAUGGCCAUGACAGUGAAAUCUAAUACCGUAAUUUAUCUAUACUGACUCAACUUUUAAGGUAUCUUGCAAUGAGUUAUAGAAUGAGCAAUGGGUUAUAGAGUUAAUGAGAUUUCAUUCAUUAGUAUCUUUAUGAGACAGUGUUUUGAGGAAGAUCAAAUUUAACAAUGGUGGAUGAUAUUUGUUACUUUUUGAGGAAGUUAAUAAGAAUGCGUCAUAUCUUCCUUAUUCUCCUGAAACGAUGACACCCAUGGUCAUGGACGUAUAUAGAGUUUGAAUUGUGAGACUAAGAUUCAAGGCCAGAUUGUUGGAUGAACUGGUCAUCCUAAUUUAAAUGUACAUGGUAUUAGAUAGAGCAAUCUACUCUAAUGAAUUCAAUUUUCUCUAUACUCUCAGACUGCUAAAAGCUAAAGCCUGAUGAAUAAUAAGAGGACAGUGAAGUUCUAAGAUUGUAAUUAUUGUAAUUCAUUUUUUGCCUUUGUGUUUGUUGUGGAAGACUUGAAGCCAUUUGAUGCGAUUAUAUAUGUAUGGUUAGGAUGGUCCUUAUUCAUAAGGCACUACAAUCAUGUGGCUAAUAUACUCCAAAUUAGGUUCCAGACUAUGACUAAUGUACAUUUGCAGAAAUUGUUGUAAUGUAUAAACGUGUUCCUUUUUUAAUAUUAUUUUAUUCACAUUUAAGCCUCAAAGUUGGAUGCUGAUAUUACUUAUAUAUAAAAAAAAAUGUUGUAUGCUGAUAUUGAUUUUGCUACUUCAUACAGGUACUAGAAAUAGCGUUAAUUGUGUUGAUGGCUCUAUAGUUAAAGACAUCGAAUGCUCUAAUUUAGCUGGUGUUACUCUUGAAAGGUCUUUUGAUGGUUCACAAGAUAAUGAAUCUUCUAAGUGCUUCAAAUGCCCUCUACAGAAGGCAAUUCUUUCAUUCCUUUGGCUUAGAGCGUCUAUAAAGAUGUGCAUCAUUGUGGUUUCUAGCAACUCCAGUAUGUAAAUGAUCUUAAAACUUUCAAUAGUAUCAAGUUUUCAACAUAGUGGUUCACCAAGUAAUAUUGCUACAAUAAUUUGAUGCUUUUUAGCUAUUAAUUUUUAAAUUCUAAAGGA